AAUCUGGGGUCCUCGACCUCCGAGUUGUAAUUUGGAGAGGCAUCUUCGGGGGGGAGCGCCGGCCCAUGUUCCUUGGAACAGGACGUCGCAAAGGGUGAGAAUCCCGUGCCAGGCCGGCCCCCUCCUCCCGCGUGAAGGGCCUUCGACGAGUCGAGUUGUUUGGGAAUGCAGCUCCAAGUGGGUGGUAAGUUUCAUCUAAAGCUAAAUACCGGCGGGAGACCGAUAGCGCACAAGUAGAGUGAUCGAAAGAUGAAAAGCACUUUGAAAAUAGAGUCAAAAAGUACGUGAAAUUGUUGAAAGGGAAGCGCUUGAGACCAGACUCAGGCCCGGGCAAACACCGCGCCCCCCGGGGCCGUGCAAUUGCCUGGGGCUGGGCCAGCAUCAGUCGGCGUGGCGGGACAAAGGCGCGGGGAAUGUGGCUCCCCUCGGGGAGUGUUAUCAGCCCCGUGCUCAAUGCCGCCGACGCCGACUGAGGACCGCGCCUCGGCUAGGAUGCUGGCUUAAUGGCCUUCAGCGACCCGUCUUGAAACACGGA
rnacentral:rRNA from 1 species